UACGUAGGGUGCAAGCGUUGUCCGGAAUUACUGGGCGUAAAGCGCACGUAGGCGGCUUUGUAAGUUAGAGGUGAAAGCCCAGGGCUUAACCCUGGAAUUGCCUUUAAGACUGCAUCGCUAGAAUCGUGGAGAGGUGAGUGGAAUUCCGAGUGUAGAGGUGAAAUUCGUAGAUAUUCGGAAGAACACCAGUGGCGAAGGCGACUCACUGGACACG
rnacentral:rRNA from 1 species